AGUGAACGCUGGCGGUAGACCUAACACAUGCAAGUCGAACGGCAGCACAGUAAGAGCUUGCUCUUACGGGUGGCGAGUGGCGGACGGGUGAGGAAUACAUCGGAAUCUACUUUUUCGUGGGGGAUAACGUAGGGAAACUUACGCUAAUACCGCAUACGACCUACGGGUGAAAGCAGGGGAUCUUCGGACCUUGCGCGAUUGAAUGAGCCGAUGUCGGAUUAGCUAGUUGGCGGGGUAAAGGCCCACCAAGGCGACGAUCCGUAGCUGGUCUGAGAGGAUGAUCAGCCACACUGGAACUGAGACACGGCCCAGACUCCUACGGGAGGCAGCAGUGGGGAAUAUUGGACAAUGGGCGCAAGCCUGAUCCAGCCAUACCGCGUGGGUGAAGAAGGCCUUCGGGUUGUAAAGCCCUUUUGUUGGGAAAGAAAAGCAGCAGGUUAAUACCCCGCUGUUCUGACGGUACCCAAAGAAUAAGCACCGGCUAACUUCGUG
rnacentral:rRNA from 1 species